rnacentral:rRNA from 1 species
GACAGAGGAUGCAAGCGUUAUCCGGAAUGAUUGGGCGUAAAGCGUCUGUAGGUGGCUUUUUAAGUUCGCCGUCAAAUCCCAGGGCUCAACCCUGGACAGGUGGUGGAAACUACCAAGCUAGAGUACGGUAGGGGCAGAGGGAAUUUCCGGUGGAGCGAUGAAAUGCGUAGAGAUCGGAAGGAACACCCAAGGCGAAAGCAUUCUGCUGGGCCGACACUGACACUGAGAGACGAAAGCUAGGGGAGCAAAUGGG